rnacentral:misc_RNA from 1 species
CAACCCUUCUUGUCAAAUACUAUAACCUAUAAUUUUUUUUUCUGUUCCAAUUUUCAUUUAUAGUUUUGAUGAGCGUUGGAUGACCAUUAAACUUGAAACAAUAAAUGUUGAUAUAUCCUACCACUUCCAAAAACCGAACAAGACUAGCUUGAAUACCAAAAUCAACAAAAUUCUACAGCUAUCAAAAAGGUACAAUGAACUUUUGGAUUUCAAAUGUUUUAAAGAUGAAAUGCAGUUGGAAUAUGAGUUCAGAUGCAAGAUAGAUCCAAGUGAAUUUCUAGAAGCCAUCUUGAAGAACUCGUAUCAUAAUUUGAGUAUUGAUCAUUUCACAGGGUUGAAUACUGAUGAUUCAAAUGAUUUUUUAAUAGAACUAUCACAUGGUUCUGGUCGACAUGAAUUCAGAUAUGAUAAAAAUAAUAAAUUACAGGUGAAAAGUAAUUUACAAGAUCUUCAAAAAUUAAAAGUACACAUAUAUACAGUUUUUCAUAAAGAAGCAGUGAUGCAUUGGAAACUAGCAGAACUUACUGAGCUAAAAGAAAAAAUCCCACUAAUUAUUGGAGAAGUCCGAAGCUUCUACACUAAUAUGAGGAAAUGCUGGUGGUCAAAUUUACCAGUUUGACUUGUUGUCUGCUGAUGAUUUUCUGGUAUGUUACCAUGUUUAAGAUUAAACACUGUUUUUAUAUUGGGAGUUAUUAUCAUUUCAAUUUGAGAAUUAACAUAAAUGAUUAGAUAUAUGAAUAAAUGGUUCUUCUGAAGAAACAUA